rnacentral:rRNA from 1 species
ACGAACGCUGGCGGCGUGCUUAACACAUGCAAGUCGAACGGAAAGGCACUGCUUUUGUGGGGUGCUCGAGUGGCGAACGGGUGAGUAACACGUGAGUAACCUGCCCUUGACUUUGGGAUAACUUCAGGAAACUGGGGCUAAUACCGGAUAGGAGCUCCUGCUGCAUGGUGGGGGUUGGAAAGUUUCGGCGGUUGGGGAUGGACUCGCGGCUUAUCAGCUUGUUGGUGGGGUAGUGGCUUACCAAGGCUUUGACGGGUAGCCGGCCUGAGAGGGUGACCGGCCACAUUGGGACUGAGAUACGGCCCAGACUCCUACGGGAGGCAGCAGUGGGGAAUAUUGCACAAUGGGCGGAAGCCUGAUGCAGCAACGCCGCGUGCGGGAUGACGGCCUUCGGGUUGUAAACCGCUUUCGCCUGUGACGAAGCGUGAGUGACGGUAAUGGGUAAAGAAGCACCGGCUAACUACGUG